CACUUCUGAGUAUUUAUUAAACAUAUGUAAUGAUCAUGUCUAGCUGGACUGCCAUGUGUUUUUUUAUUCGGUUAUUAUCAAUAUGAACUCGCGAUGUAUUCAAUGUUUUCUUUACUUCCUUUGCUGUUUAUUAGUCGUUAGCCUCGAUUUUUAUAGUUAUUUGGAACGAAAAAAAUUCUUCUCACACGUCAUUUGCAUUGUAUUCGAGUCUGUUCAUAUUUCUCCGUCGUUUGUUCUCUUUAGUGCCGUUUUUAGCACCUAUUGCGCCAUGCCCCGAUUGUCCAAGAUUAUCCGUGAAGUUCACAACAGGCAAAGUGUCGUUGAAGGACAAUAGAAAAAGGGGGAUGCAUAUUCGUAUCACGACAAUGCACCAAACACCUGUUCUCUUGCAACUUUUUAUUGGUUACGUCUAAGGCCGGAAAUUUAUAAUGGUUUACUUCCCUUUAUUUUUUUUUUUUUACUCUUUUUAGAAAUUUGCUUCUUGAAGGAUUUGGG
rnacentral:lncRNA from 1 species